rnacentral:rRNA from 1 species
UACGGGGUGCAUACGGGGUGCAGCAGGCGCGAAACCUCCGCAAUGUGAGAAAUCGCGACGGGGGGAUCCCAAGUCGCCAUUUUAUUAAGGGAUGGCUUUUCAUUAGUGUAAAGAGCUUUUGGAAUAAGAGCUGGGGGG